UGGACACUGAUAGAGUUACUCUUUUUGUCUUUUGUAUCUCUUAAAGUAAUCUUUGUUCUCAGACAAUAAAAAAAAAAAAAAGAACACAUUCAAUAAUACAAAGAAUAGUAUCAAUGUAACUCAAAUCAGAUUAUGUUCAAAUUGUUGCCUUCUUCCUAACCGAACCGGCAAGGAGGAUAAUCCAAGUGAAUGAUGAAGUAUACAUUGGUGUUACAUGGAGCAGAGGGCAGCGAAGGCUUCACCAGUCUUGUUUCCUUGAAUUCACGGACAGUAGAAAGAGGGCAAGGAGCAGAGAAACAGCCGAAGCACCAGGGAGCAAAAACAGGAGCGCUCUUCAUCAACUAUACCACCAAGAGAAGGAGAAUGAUGGCUGUUCUUCGAGUUUUCCUGCUAGGUGAGGACAACGACUUCAUCUUCUUCCUUUCCUCCUCUAAUUCAAAAUUCUCAUCCUUCUCUUGCUCCAUUCUCCCAAUUUAUUCAAUUUCUAUUAACACAACUACCACCACAAGCAAAGAGAGGUGAGUGAUUUUCUCUCCUCUGUGUUUAAUUUCGUCGAAUGGCCUUGUGAAAUGUAACCAAAACUCUAGUUCUUGGAAUGGUUAGGGUUCGGGUUCAAGGGAGAAACAGGGCAAGUCUUGUGUAUUUGAUCAACAAAGAGACUUGGCAGCUGAUGACUUGAGUUCAGAGAUGUCCAAAGGUGUUACUGAAGAAUCCUCGGAUCGCAGGAUCACUUUUGAGUAGAUGACAGGCGCUCUAUAUCUGAAUCUAUACGACCUUGUUCCUUAGUGAUACAUUUCUCGCUCUUUUGAUAGUGUUUUGAGGGAUAGGAUCUUCUUGUACCGUGUGAGAAUUAGGGUCGGUAAUAUCUUUUGGUUGUAUAUAUUUUAUGUAUAUAUAUCUAUUGGCAUGUAUACUCUUGACUUUUUGACUUAUGUUUAUGUAUAUACUACUUAUCUCUA